CGAGAAAGCCCGCAAGGGUGAGUAAAGCGGCGCACGGGUGCGUAACACGUGGGUAAUCUGCCCUGAAGUCCGGAAUAACUCGCCGAAAGGCGUGCUAAUGCCGGAUAAGACCACGGGAACCUCGGUUCCUGCGGGAAAAGGUGGCCUCUGUAUACAAGCUAUCACUUCGGGAUGAGCCCGCGGCCCAUCAGCUAGUUGGCGGGGUAACGGCCCACCAAGGCUACGACGGGUAGCUGGUCUAAGAGGACGAUCAGCCACACUGGAACUGAGACACGGUCCAGACUCCUACGGGAGGCAGCAGUGGGGAAUCUUGCGCAAUGGGCGAAAGCCUGACGCAGCAACGCCGCGUGUGUGAUGAAGGUCUUCGGAUCGUAAAGCACUGUCGCGAGGGACG
rnacentral:rRNA from 1 species